rnacentral:lncRNA from 1 species
GGGUUGCUGGGGUUGUGUAACUGUGCCUAGAGGGCGGGGUUCCUGUACAUUCCUACUUCACCAGAUAACCUGCCCCCAACACCACUUCAGCUUCUGCCAGACAGAUGGAACUCUCCAGCAUGAAAAUCUGCGCAGCCAUUCCAACAAGCAGGGCUCUGCCUGAGGUUGUCCGAAGGAUGCCGAGGAAAAGGAUAUCAGGACUGGAAUGGCUCUUACAGCAAGAUCCAGGUUUUUCAUUAGUCAAUACAGUGAAGGCUGGCAUGAUCAUCAGCUUCCCAUCCAAUAAUAUCUACUCAUCAGUGUGCUGUUGUCAAUCAGAGAUUUUCAAGUAUGAGUUCUCCAACUCAAAGAAAAGUAGCUGGAUCCAGGAAGAAAGGCAUUUGGGGAAGAACAACGUUCUUUACAGUGCUCAUGAUGUGUCUCCAGAGAAAGUUACUUCAGCACUAAAAAAAACAAACAAACAAACAACAACAAUAAACAACUUUCCUCUACAGUAUCUUCCAGGGUCUAAACUAUUAGACAGGUUCCUAAGUUUAUCCAGAUCUCUCCUAUGUCUGAAUUCUUGGUCAUCUUCCUUGCCUCUGGCUCCACAGGUAAAGAAGAAAUAAUAAUAAAGGAACAAAAAUUAUAUGUUUCAGGCCGGGCGCGGUGGCUCACGCCUGUAAUCCCAGCACUUUGGGAGGCCGAGGCGGGUGGAUCAUGAGGUCAGGAGAUCGAGACCAUCCUGGCUAACAAGGUGAAACCCCGUCUCUACUAAAAAUACAAAAAAUUAGCCGGGCGCGGUGGCGGGCGCCUGUAGUCCCAGCUACUCGGGAGGCUGAGGCAGGAGAAUGGCGUGAACCCGGGAAGCGGAGCUUGCAGUGAGCCGAGAUUGCGCCACUGCAGUCCGCAGUCCGGCCUGGGCGACAGAGCGAGACUCCGUCUCAAAAAAAAAAAAAAAAAAAAUUAUAUGUUUCUGUCGGGCUGACUCAUUCCACUUUUGAAGCACCCAGUGGAUUAAUUAGUCUUAUUAUUGCAUUUACUGUCACCUACACAUUUGUUUGUGGGAAGGCACUCCUCUUGGCAUUUGCUUAGUUGGAAAAAGGAACACUAAGACUAUAGCCACUGGAUAAUGUUCUUGAAGUUCACGGCACUGUGGCAGCAUAAAGCUUGAACAGACCUAGUUUUUUUAUUGAUGGAGUGCAACUGAUGUAGCACCACUUUUCUCUGACACUGUAUAUUAGCUUUUAGUUAUGAACUACUUCCUUCCAGUGCAGCAGUUGUUGCCUACCAUUGGUACCAGUUUGGCACCAUUAUAAAGAAACAUUGUACCUCUUAUAGGAAGAAUUUGGAGAGUUUUGGUAUGGUAAUCAAGAUGUGUAUUGUAAUAAUUAACUGAAUUCUGUGAACACACUGUUUCUACCUUAAGUGAAAGAAAAAGAGAACAGCUGCAAUUAUUUAUCUUCACUCAUUUCUCAUAGAUAGCCAGGAUUUUUCAGUGUACAUUCUCUUGUCCUGAAAUUAUUUUCAGUUCUUGUUGAUUCUUAUAGAUUAUAAUGAGAAAGGCACGAGCAAGAAAUUUGAAAUAAAGAACACAAAAUG